rnacentral:rRNA from 1 species
CCUACGGGAGGCAGCAGUGAGGAAUAUUGGUCAAUGGUCGGGAGACUGAACCAGCCAAGCCGCGUGAGGGAUGAAGGUACAGAGUAUCGUAAACCUCUUUUGUCAGGGAACAAAGGCGCGGACGUGUCCCCGGAGGAGUGUACCUGAAGAAAAAGCAUCGGCUAACUCCGUGCCAUCAGCCGCGGUAAUACGGAGGAUGCGAGCGUUAUCCGGAUUUAUUGGGUUAAAAGGGUGCGCAGGCGGUCUGUUAAGUCAGCGGUCAAAGCCCGGGGCUCAACCCCGGACCGCCGUUGAAACUGGCAGUCUCGAGUUGGAGAGAAGUAUGCGGAAUGCGCGGUGUAGCGGUGAAAUGCAUAGAUAUCGCGCAGAACUCCGAUUGCGAAGGCAGCAUGCCGGCUCCACACUGACGCUGAGGCACGAAAGCGUGGGUAUCGAACAGGAUUAGAUACCCCUGUAGUC